GAUGAAGAACGUAGCGAAAUGCGAUAAGUAGUGUGAAUUGCAGAAUUCAGUGAAUCAUCGAAUCUUUGAACGCACAUUGCGCCCCUUGGUAUUCCAUGGGGCAUGCCUGUUCGAGCGUCAUUUGUACCUUCAAGCUCUGCUUGGUGUUGGGUGUUUGUCUCGCCUUUGCGUGUAGACUCGCCUCAAAACAAUUGGCAGCCGGCGUAUUGAUUUCGGAGCGCAGUACAUCUCGCGCUUUGCACUCAUAACGACGACGUCCAAAAAGUACAUUUUUACACUCUUGACCUCGGAUCAGGUAGGGAUACCCGCUGAACUUAAGCAUAUCAUAAGCGGAGGA
rnacentral:misc_RNA from 1 species